rnacentral:lncRNA from 1 species
UUUGGAGAAGGGUGCGAGAACCAUUUUAUGCCCGGUAACUUAUGUGGAAAUACCAUGACAAUUUGCAUACCACAAAUGUGAUAACUUGUGUAGCCAAAGCUCAGUAAAUUUUGAUAAUUUUUUUACAAAAAUGCACCAACAUGGAAUCUAAUUUCGAAUAUAUCAUUGCGACCAAUCUUUUAGGUGAAAAUGUUUUUUUAAUCUGACUGACGGUUAAAGUUAUAAAAUAGUUAUGAAUUUUUAAAAUAGAAAGAAUCUAGAAUGACAUCAACAUUUUCGUGCCUUUGUAUACGCAGCAUUUAGUUAGAGAAAGAAUGCGCAUGAAAAGACAUGAAUCAUUCUAAUGCAUGUAUUUAUUAGAGAGACGGAGGGUGGGUGCGGACGUGUGAUGGAUGGUUAGGCUUUAACAACCACAAUGUUGUCAGUUAUCAUGGUCCAUAUAUAAAAUAUAUAAAAAAUCAUAUGAUAUAUGCAAAUAAAAGUAAACAUCAAAACAUAUACGUGAAAAUAUAUUCAUAUAUAUGAAAAAUGUUAAACCUGUAUCAAAAUUAUUUUGGACGGAUAUAAAAAAUAUAUAAUGUGUACAAAGAAAAUAAGAAUUUAAAUAUUUAUAUAAAAAUGUUUAAUUAUUAACUUAAAAACGUUAAAAUCUAGUUAAAAAAUAUUCUUGAUGUAACCAAAAAACCUGUAGAGAUGUGUCAAUAACAUUGUAGAGAAAAAAUUAAAAAGAAAACAAAAAAAUCAGAGAAAAUCUAGUGCAUAAAAGAAAUAUGAAACAAUAAAACUAAAAAAACCUGAGAAGAAACUAGGAAGAAAAGAAUUGUAGAAACGAAAAGAAAAGUUACAGUCAGUGAACACAGAGAAUGAAACAAAGGAAACUGAUGAAAAAUAAGGAAAAACAAAAAUAAAAAUGAAACAUGAGUAAAACAAACAACUGGCAUAGAAAACCAGAGAGAAAACAAAAACAUUCUGAAGAAAAAAAAAGGAAAAGAAGUAAUGUGCGCAACAUCGAUUAGACCUGGGUGAACGAAAAACACGUACGUUACCGGGCCGGCCCAUAUGCCUCGUUGCCGAGGGCCCUGAGGGCGAGACGGAUCCAUAGAAGGAAUCGUUCCUUGACUUAAAUUUGAGAGCAACUAGUUAGCGAGCAGUCAUUCGAAAGUCUGCCAGCAAGAACUCCCACGCACCAUCACUUGACACGUUUUUAGCCACCGUCACGUGUCGUGCUCUGAAAGUUUUCUCAGAAUUUUAUUUUUUUAUUUUUUUGCACCUGUUUUUGGCUUUUUAGAUUAUUUUUUUUGUGUUUCGGUUUUUCACCGG